AUCUCUUCACCAAAGGUGAUUUCAUUUCUUCAACGUAAAUAAAUAUAUUUUUCUCUCUUUCAGUCGAAUUGAAUAUAAUCAAAUCAGGGAUAUAUCUCUGCUCAGUAAAUCUUCGAUAAUUCAAGUGUUUCAAAUAAAUAUGUUAGCCAAUCAGAUCGAAGAAUUACCAGUCAGUCUCUUUCAAAACAUACCUGUGACGCACUCUUUGGAUUUGUCUAUCAAUAGACUUACUUCCAUACCAGAUAAUGCAUUUUCUCCUUGCAAGGAUUUAACGCAGU